rnacentral:rRNA from 1 species
GACGAACGCUGGCGGCGUGCUUAACACAUGCAAGUCGAACGGAAAGGCCCUGCUUUUGUGGGGUGCUCGAGUGGCGAACGGGUGAGUAACACGUGAGUAACCUGCCCUUGACUUUGGGAUAACUUCAGGAAACUGGGGCUAAUACCGGAUAGGAGCUCCUGCUGCAUGGUGGGGGUUGGAAAGUUUCGGCGGUUGGGGAUGGACUCGCGGCUUAUCAGCUUGUUGGUGGGGUAGUGGCUUACCAAGGCUUUGACGGGUAGCCGGCCUGAGAGGGUGACCGGCCACAUUGGGACUGAGAUACGGCCCAGACUCCUACGGGAGGCAGCAGUGGGGAAUAUUGCACAAUGGGCGGAAGCCUGAUGCAGCGACGCCGUGUGCGGGAUGACGGCCUUCGGGUUGUAAACCGCUUUCGCCUGUGACGAAGCGUGAGUGACGGUAAUGGGUAAAGAAGCACCGGCUAACUACGUG